rnacentral:rRNA from 1 species
GAUGAACGCUGGCGGCGUGCCUAAUACAUGCAAGUCGAGCGAAUGGAUUGAGAGCUUGCUCUUAUGAAGUUAGCGGCGGACGGGUGAGUAACACGUGGGUAACCUGCCCAUAAGACUGGGAUAACUCCGGGAAACCGGGGCUAAUACCGGAUAACAUUUUGAACCGCAUGGUUCGAAAUUGAAAGGCGGCUUCGGCUGUCACUUAUGGAUGGACCCGCGUCGCAUUAGCUAGUUGGUGAGGUAACGGCUCACCAAGGCAACGAUGCGUAGCCGACCUGAGAGGGUGAUCGGCCACGCUGGGACUGAGACACGGCCCAGACUCCUACGGGAGGCAGCAGUAGGGAAUCUUCCGGAAUGGACGAAAGUCUGACGGAGCAGCGCCGCGUGAGUGAUGAAGGCUUUCGGGUCGUAAAACUCUGUUGUUAGGGAAGAACAAGUGCUAGUUGAAUAAGCUGGCACCUUGACGGUACCUAACCGGAAAGCCACGGCUAACUACGUGCCAGCCGCCGCCGUAA